rnacentral:misc_RNA from 1 species
CCCAUUUCAUAUAUUUUUUUUUUGCUCAUUUUCGUCAAUUGUCCAAUACAAAUAUCAAAUAUGUAGUAAUAUAACAACAUCUGGCUUCCACCUUGAUUCCAGAUCAUAUUCUAUGUGGGUAAUAUAUGAAAAUCAUACAUGAGAUGAAGCUCAAAAAAGGGGGGAAAAAGGAUCAAAAAUGAAAAAAAGAAAAGCACAUUUAAGAAUCAGAAGAACCUGAAACUCUAGGGGAAGUCACUGGAAACAAGGGCAAAAGGCGGGGC